UAACUGAAGAGUUUGAUCAUGGCUCAGAUUGAACGCUGGCGGCAGGCUUAACACAUGCAAGUCGAGCGGGGGAAGGUAGCUUGCUACUGGACCUAGCGGCGGACGGGUGAGUAAUGCUUAGGAAUCUGCCUAUUAGUGGGGGACAACAUCUCGAAAGGGAUGCUAAUACCGCAUACGUCCUACGGGAGAAAGCAGGGGAUCUUCGGACCUUGCGCUAAUAGAUGAGCCUAAGUCGGAUUAGCUAGUUGGUGGGGUAAAGGCCUACCAAGGCGACGAUCUGUAGCGGGUCUGAGAGGAUGAUCCGCCACACUGGGACUGAGACACGGCCCAGACUCCUACGGGAGGCAGCAGUGGGGAAUAUUGGACA
rnacentral:rRNA from 1 species